rnacentral:lncRNA from 1 species
UUCUCCCUAGUGCAACGUUAUAGCCUUGUCCUCCUAGCUGUCAAAUACACAACAAACAAAAUAAAAUAGCGUAAAACAUAAUCCACACAAAUAUCUGACAUGUUUAAAAACAUAAUUCCAAAAGUUUUUUUUUGUAAAACUCUGUAUAUUUACAUAAGAUGAAACGGGUGGAGUAAUAAUAACCACAUAAUUCCGAAAGGCAUUUUUUAAAAAACUUCUUAUCCAAUCAAAUAAUUUUACACGAUGAAACGGGUGGAGUAAUAAUGAUGAAACAGGUGUAAUAAUAGUAACUGGUCACAAAACUUAUAAUAAAUUAACCUGCUAUCACAUAUUCAUUGAUCAUAUGAAAAAUUCUUAAUACUAUCUGUGUAUACGAGUAAAAUCCUAAAGGUAUAUACUCUGAUAAUGUAUAUUUAAUUGUUUGGCCUAAUAAUUCAAUUUUAGGUUUAACAAUUAAUCUACUUAUUUUUAUUGCAAAAUUGGUCCUGAUUGCCAUAUUAUUGACAUAUCUUACUGUUGAUAGAAGUCAACUCUUAAUCUAAUAACAUAAAAUUGUUUUUCACUGUCGUGUGUAGCGAACAGAAACUCUAUAUAUACCGCAAAACCAUUGGGGUGGAAUUUGGGUGGCGGUAAAUAAUCGUUUAAGUAAAAAUUGGUACGUUAGAGAUAGAAAAUUAAUGAACAUACUUUA